GGCUCUGUGGCGCAAUGGAUAGCGCGUUGGACUUCUAGAUGGUGGCUUUGUGAAGUCAUUCAAAGGUUGUGGGUUCGAGUCCCACCAGAGUCG
rfam:Lepisosteus oculatus linkage group LG2, whole genome shotgun sequence.